rnacentral:rRNA from 1 species
UACGUAGGGUCCGAGCGUUGUCCGGAAUUAUUGGGCGUAAAGAGCUCGUAGGCGGUUUGUCGCGUCUGCUGUGAAAUCCCGAGGCUCAACCUCGGGCCUGCGGUGGGUACGGGCAGACUGGAGUGCGGUAGGGGAGAAUGGAAUUCCUGGUGUAGCGGUGGAAUGCGCAGACAUCAGGAGGAACACCGAUGGCGAAGGCAGUUCUCUGGGCCGUAACUGACGCUGAGGAGCGAAAGCGUGGGGAGCGAACAGG